rnacentral:rRNA from 1 species
AGGUACUGCUAUCGGGGUCAGACUAAGCCAUGCAAGUCUUGGGGCCAGAGCUGGCUGGUCCCGGCGCACGGCUGAGUAACACGUGGCCAACCUACCCUCGGGAGGGGGAUAACCCCGGGAAACUGGGGCUAAUACCCCAUAGGUGAGGAGUGCUGGGAUGCCCCUCACCGAAAGGGUGCGGUCCCAUGCUGACCGUUACCGCCCGAGGAUGGGGCUGCGGCGGAUUAGGUAGUUGGUGGGGUAACGGCCCACCAAGCCGACGAUCCGUAGGGGCCAUGUGAGUGGGGGCCCCCAGAAGGGCACUGAGACAAGGGCCCUAGCCCUACGGGGUGCAGCAGGCGCGAAACCUCCGCAAUGCGGGAAACCGUGACGGGGUGACCCCGAGUGCCAGAGGGGGAAUCCUCUCUGGCUUUUCCCCGAUGUAAACAGUCGGGGGAAUAAGCGGGGGGCAAGGCGCGUGGCAGCCGCCGCGGUAACACGUCGCUCCGCAAGUGGUACCCGCGAAUAUUGGGCCUAAAGCGUCCGUAGCCGGCCUGGCAAGUCCUCGGUUAAAUCGGCGGGCUUAACCCGUCGGCUGCCGGGGAUACUGCCAGGCUCGGGACCGGGAGAGGCCGAGGGUAUUCCCGGGGUAGGGGUAAAAUCCUGUAAUCCCGGGAGGACCACCUGUGGCGAAGGCGCUCGGCCAGAACGGGUCCGACGGUGAGGGACGAAAGCUGGGGGAUCAAACCGGAUUAGAGACCCGGGUAGUCCCAGCUGUCAACCAUGCGGACUAGGUGUCGCGCGAGCUACGUGCUCGCGCGGUGCCGGAGGGAAGCCGUUAAGUCCGCCGCCUGGGGAGUACGGCCGCAAGGCUGAAACCUAAAGGAAUUGGCGGGGGAGCACUACAAGGGGUGGAGGGUGCGGUUC